AGCCCAGGGCAUCGCACCUGCUACUGUGUGUCCUGGCAGCUGGCCUGACACACCUCCACACUGCUGCCUGCUGCCUAAAGAACUCUUUCCACAGACUGCCGCUUAAGCAAGGUGAUAAAAACUAAAAGUUAUAGUUUGUCAUGUGUCUCAGAAGAGACUUUGGAUCUUGAACUUGAACUGUAGGACUCUCAGCUCCAGCACCACGUCUGCCUACACCACUAUACUCCUAUCAUGAUGAUGAUGGACUGAACCUCUGAAACUGGAAGCGAGCCACACCAAUUAAAUGUUUC